rnacentral:rRNA from 1 species
AGUGAACGCUGGCGGUAGGCCUAACACAUGCAAGUCGAACGGCAGCACAGUAAGAGCUUGCUCUUACGGGUGGCGAGUGGCGGACGGGUGAGGAAUACAUCGGAAUCUACUUUUUCGUGGGGGAUAACGUAGGGAAACUUACGCUAAUACCGCAUACGACCUACGGGUGAAAGCAGGGGAUCUUCGGACCUUGCGCGAUUGAAUGAGCCGCUGUCGGAUUAGCUAGUUGGCGGGGUAAAGGCCCACCAAGGCGACGAUCCGUAGCUGGUCUGAGAGGAUGAUCAGCCACACUGGAACGGAGACACGGUCCAGACUCCUACGAGAGGCAGCAGUGGGGAAUAUUGGACAAUGGGCGCAAGCCUGAUCCAGCCAUACCGCGUGUGUGAAGAAGGCCUUCGGGUUGGAAAGCCCUUUUGUUGGGAAAGAAAAGCAGCAGGUUAAUACCCCGCUGUUCUGACGGUACCCAAAGAAUAAGCACCGGCUAACUUCGUG